AUGUUUUAUGCAGACCCAUGUCAUCCAAGUGAAAACCCAAGGCCAAUCAAGGCCUGCAAGAAAACUGCACCUGGGUGCCCACCUAUGCCAAGCCAUUGCUGGAGCCCUGCUCCAUGUGCCAGACAGUCAAUGUGCCUGACUCAUGGCACUAGAGCUGACUGUCCCUGCUACAAGACAGGGGCUAGGCCAGCACAACCCUUCUCUCCUGCUCUGAGUAAAAGACUGAAGGGACCUAGAGCAACCUGCAGUGCCCCUGUCCACGGACAUCUCCAUAUUCUACAAAAAAGACCUGCACAACCCUGGACAUCACGAGACUAGGGUCUAACGGCAACUACUCCACAGAACUACAAAGCUUGACCGCUCUGUGUCUACAAUAACGCUGGCAAUCCCAGGACACCUCCUUUGACAGAAUCUGUGCAGAUGAGGACACAUGCCAGGUGGACUGGCAGUGUAAGCCUGCUGCACCUGAACUGUCUGAGGAACAAGAUCACCUAGAAGAAGAUAGCUACUCCUGAGAAUCUCUGGAAGACUCGAGGCCUCACUUUAGAAAGCAAGACUCCAGUUCUGCUCAAAGUGUAGGUAAGUAGAGUCACUAAUGACCCGUAAUUCACCACAGCUUAGACAGUUAUCUGUGCUGAGCCUUCUAUUUUUAAUUAGAAUCAUAAGUGGGUAAUCUUGCUCUGGCUAUGCCUCUCAGGUUCGUGGUAAUUUACCUAACACCCUUCUGCCAUACUUCCUCCUCCACAGGAACUGUGGAAAUCUGACCUGCUCCUUCUCAUAUGUGGGCUCUAUGCCCACAACCUAUUAGUAAAAUUAUUCUCCUGACAAAUUCACCGUGUUUUCUCCAUACAAACAGGCAGCUCACAUAUAGCUACUCUUUCCUCAUUGCCUUCUGACAGGGUUUUUUUCAAGCCAGCCUAUAAGCCACAACAUCCCAAAGUAGUUGGAGCACACAUACUUUCGAGCACGUAGGGCCUACAGCCCCUUUCAGCAGAAAAUAGUUACAUGAAGACAGAGACUUCCACUUCCUAGGCACCUCAUAAAGAAUUAUGGGGAUUUAUGCCUCUUGUGGGGUGAUAAGGCAGGAGAUUAGGAUGUAGCCAGCUGACUGGUCACUGGGUGUGACCUGCCAAUCAUGGUGAUCCAAGAGACAUGUGUGCCAGCCCAGCACCUGGAAACAAACAGGAAGUGCUAUCUUCAAUUCUUCUCACUAGCAGUAGGCAAGUUUUCAUAGGACAGCCUACACCUGACAUCAGUCCAAGGCGGGUGGCAGGGGGAGAGGGUACCAAAGAUGGCGGCCAUUGAGCUCCUGGCCAUGUGUUCUCCUUCAUAGUGCACAGCGGUCAGGUCUUACCCUGCAGAGUGUGCUCCCUUUCCUACUUUAAGUGGCUCAACUCACUGCAGAGCACAUUUCCUACCUUUAAUGCAUGUAAAUCUUGCUUAAAAAACAAAAAAAAAAACAACAAAAAACUUCACCAGUGGUCACACCUGAGCUUUGCAGAGACACUUUACCUUUUAUUCUCAGUAUAAACAAUGUGAAGUGUUAAAAAAUGUCACCCAAUUUAUCCUACAAAAUACAAGAAUUUUGCUUUUUAAUAUGAGGAAUUUUGCAGCUUUACACCCAGUCCAUACUUCCCAGGGUGUUUUACUUUUUCCCCACAGGGUGUUUUAAAAUGAUUGUAAUCAGCUGCUUAUUUUUAUGUAUUUUCAAGACAAAUGUUUUACAUGUGCAUUGGGCUUUGCAACCGACUUAAACCAAUACUCUGUAGAUCAUCCAUGUCUAACUUGUCUCAGUGCAGACUGCCGGGCCCUUUAGAACAAGUCCUGCAUGCUUGGAUAUUUUUGUGCUGAUAUUCUGGGGACUGACAAAUGACCUGGAUGGUUUCUUCAGGAAGCACAUACUGGUGUGCAUUUUUUGAGCUUCUGAAGAGCAUACUAGUUUUUCUUUCUUUUUUUUUUUUUUUUAAAUUUUAUGUUGAUUUUACUCAUGAGAGUACUUGACUGGGAUUCUUGGGUGUUUGGCCAUUUUGCUCAAAAUUCUGCACAUAUAUCUAUUGGGACACAUUAUUAUAGAGAAAAGGCUGAGGUUGGGUUUUUCCUCUUUGAAGGUAGUAUUUCUAUUGUUUGCCUUUGUAUCACAGUACAGGGUUAGAGGUCAAGUUCCAGGCCUUGUCCAUGGACAUGAACAAUAUGUGGUCAGUGAGGGUCUGAAAUGUGUCACAUCCAAACUGAGACUGUGAAAUAUACACCAGAUUUUGAGGGUUUAGUGUGAAAAAAGAAUGUAAGAUAUUUAAUAUUUUUAAAACACAUGAGCCACUAGUAAUGAAAGCAGUACAGUACUGUCAUAAAAACAUGGACUGAUGGAACAGGAUGGACAGCCUAGAAGCAAAUCCACGUAUGCACAGGCAGCAGAUUUCAACACACGGGCAAAGAACACACAACACACAAAGGACAGCCUUUUCAAUACCUGCUGCUGGGGAACCUGGCAUCCAUAUGCAGAAGGACACUAGAACCCUGUCUCUCACCAGUCACGAUGCUCAGCUCAGAGGGGAUUAAAGGCAUAAAGAGAAGAACAGAAACAAAGAAACUACUGGCAAAAACACAGGGGAAACACCACAGGACAGCAGAAUGGGCAAGGCCCUCCACCCCCAGGAAACAAAAGUAAAUCCAAACAAGUGGGGUUUGAUCUAACGCAAAAAGCUUCUGCACAGCAAAGGAAACAACCGUCAGAAUGAAGAGACAACCUGCAGAAAAGGAGAAAAGAUCUGCAAAGUACACAUCUGACAGGGGCUUACUAUGCACAGUAUACGAGGAAUUCCAAAACCACCACAGGAAAAAACAAGCAAACAAAACACUGAUUAAAAAUGAGCAAUAGCUCUAAAUAGGCAUUUCUCAAGAGAGAAUAGGUAUAUGAAAAACGCUGCAUAUCACAGAAAUGCAAAUCUAAACCACAAUGAGAUACAUCACCUCACAUCAAGAAGAAUUGCUCAUUUUGGUUUGGGUCUGAGUGUCCCCCCAAGGCCUCAUGCAGUCGUGGGGCGGGCUUCUAGGAUUUGUGAUUGAUCCAUGGUCCAAUGCUGGGAUUAUGGGUGUGAGUGCUGCACCCGCCCUGGGGCAGGUAGUUUGCAUACAGUGUAAGGGAGGGAAAGAGGCUGCUUGCCACCAUUCCUCCAUUUGCUCUUGUUGUUUUUGUGGUGUUCCACUGACUGAACACUUGCCCUCUGCCAUGUGCCACUCUGCCUUGGAACCAGCCCAGUAUGGACUGAAACCUCCACAAACUGUGAGUUAAAUAAAACUGUCCUUCCUUAAUUCUGGGUGUCAGGUAUUUUGUCUCAGCAACAAGAGAAAAGUAACCAAGACAUUGCUGUUAUCAAAAAAGAAGAUCAAAUGUGCUGGGAGAGACACAGGAAAAAGGGAAGGCUCCUGCACUGUUGUGGGAAUGUAAAUCCACACACCAUGGUGGAAAAGAGCAUGGCGUUCCUCAGAAUGUCAAAAAACAGAAUCUCCUUACGAUCCGUCAGUUCUGCUCCUAGGUGCAUAUCCAAGGAAGUACAUCGGCAUGUUCACUGCAGCACCAUUCACAAGAGCCAAGAAAGGGGAAAACCUGUGUCCACCAACCGAUGCGUAGACACAGGAAACAAUACUCAGCCAUAAACGUGACAGAAUCACACCACCUGCAGCACGGUGGGUGGAAACGGAGAUCAUUCCUGUACCUAAGUGAGGAGAUCAUUCCUUUACCUAAGUGAGGAGAUCAUUCCUUUACCUAAGUGAGGAGAUCAUUCCUUUACCUAAGUGAGGAGAUCAUUACUUUACCUAAGUGAGGAGAUCAUCAUUACUUUACCUAAGUGAAGUGACCCGGGCAUGGAAGUCAAGCACCACAUGAUGUGGGAUGAUGUCUAGCUGAUCUCACAGAAGUAGAGGGCAGUUAGAGAGCAGGGGUGGCAGGGCUUUUAUCUAGGUGUCCCCCCAAAGCCUCCUGUGCUGCAGGUGGGGCACUGGCAGUGACUGGACUGCGGGUGUGUGAUAGUGGAUGGGUCCACUGAUGGGUUACAGCUGGCGUGAUGUGGGGAGGUGACGCUGGUGGGAAGAGGGGUCCCUGUGGUGUGGCCUGGAAGGGGGGUACAUACACGCACAUGUCCCUCCUUCCCCUUGAUGCUGCUCUGUUUCUCGCCUUCCAUGCCAUGGACUGAUUCUCCUCUGCGGUGACCCUCCGCCAUGCCAGCCCGCCUUGGAGCCAGCCCACUGUGGACUGAAACCUGUAGAAACUGUGAGCCAAAUGAACCUCUCCUCCUUUACCUGACGGGGGUCAGGCAUUCUGUCCUCGCAACAUGAAAACGAAGCCGAGGGGAGAGGAAGGAUGGAUAGAGGUAGAUCAGUGGGUCCUAAGUUAUGGCUACAUAGGAGCAACAAUGGGUGUGGACAGCACAGUGCAGCGACUACACAUAACAGAGGGUGUGGUACAUAGAAGCACUGAAGGAAGGACUCUGAAUGUUUUUGCCAUAAAGUAGAGAUAACUGAGUAGGUAGAUACGUGUUGACUCCAAGGAUGCAAUGGAUGCAUGUACUGAAACAUUGCCCAGUACUCCAUUAACACAUAUCAUUUGCACAUUUUAUGUAUCAGUAAGAAGGAAAUUUAAUUUAAAUAAGAAAUGAAAGACUAAUGUUAACAUACCAUGUUGAAGUAAUAUUUUUUAACACAUAAAAUUAAAUAAAGGGUAUUAUUAAAUUUUGAUAUAUUUGUCUCAACUUUGCUUUUUAAAAUUUGGGCACAAAAGCCUUAGAAUGAACAGCUGCUGUUCCAUUAUACAUUAUAGACAGGGCUCAAGAGUUCAAGGUUUCCACACUUGGCAAGAGUUGACCUUCAGGUGCAGUGACCAGAUGCCCCCAUGUGGCCAGGUUUCCAGGGAGAACAAUGACAGAGUGGGAGUGGAAAAGAGAAGAUUUAAGAGGUUAAACACAGCCAUUGUAAAACACAGGAGCUCCUUGACUUACAAUAGGUAUAUGACCUAAAAAUUCCAUUGCAAGUAGUAAAUAUAGUAAGUCAAAAUGAUUUAGUGCAUCUAAUCUCCUGGAAGUCACAGCCAAGGAUAUGGCACACCGCACAGUGCAGGCUGUUCACCUUUAUUAUGGCUUCGAUGUAAAACUUCCCCUGGAAGUCCCACGUCACUAGACAUGGGGCUUUGGGAAGGUGAGCAGAUCAUGAGGUCAUUAUACUCAUCAACAGGUUAAGC
rnacentral:lncRNA from 1 species